rnacentral:rRNA from 1 species
GGCCGCGGUAAUACGUAGGGUCCGAGCGGUGUCCGGAAUUAUUGGGCGUAAAGGGCUCGUAGGCGGUUUGUCGCGUCGGGAGUGAAAACUCAGGGCUUAACCCUGAGCGUGCUUCCGAUACGGGCAGACUAGAGGUAUUCAGGGGAGAACGGAAUUCCUGGUGUAGCGGUGGAAUGCGCAGAUAUCAGGAGGAACACCGGUGGCGAAGGCGGUUCUCUGGGAAUAACCUGACGCUGAGGAGCGAAAGCAUGGGUAGCGAACA